rnacentral:antisense_RNA from 1 species
CUUUAUGGUGGUCAUGCGCAGGGCACCUUCGGGUGCGCCGUUUUCCUAGAGCCCGGUCUACCAACCUGCGUAUGGCCUCCACCCAU